UACGUAGGGUGCGAGCGUUGUCCGGAAUUAUUGGGCGUAAAGGGCUCGUAGGCGGUCUGUCGCGUCGGGAGUGAAAACUCAGGGCUUAACCCUGAGCCUGCUUCCGAUACGGGCAGACUAGAGGUAUGCAGGGGAGAACGGAAUUCCUGGUGUAGCGGUGAAAUGCGCAGAUAUCUGGAGGAACACCGGUGGCGAAGGCGGCAUCCUGGACCGGUAUUGACGCUGAGGCGCGAAAGCUAGGGGAGCAAACGGG
rnacentral:rRNA from 1 species